GUCAUUCUCCUGCGUCAGCCUCCCGAGUAUCUGGGACUACGGGCGCCCGCCACCACGCCCGGUUAAUUUUUUUGUAUUUUUAGUAGAGACGGGGUUUCACUGUGUUUUUAGUAGAGACGGGGUUUCACUGUGUUAGCCAGGAUGGUCUCGAUCUCCUGACCUCGUGAUCCGCCCGCCUCGGCCUCCCAAAGUGCUGGGAUUACAGGCGUCAGCCACCGCGCCCGGCCUAUAAUUUUUUUUUUUAACUCCUUCACUGUUGUUGGCAGAAUUUAGUUUCUUCCUGUUACAAGGAUUGAGGUCGCCAUUUCCUUGCUGGUAGUCACCUGAGGACUGUUCCCAGAUUCUAGAGACUGCCUGCAUACCUUGGCUUAUCACCUUCCACUGCCUGCAUACCUUGGCUUAUGCCCUUUCUCCUGCAUCUUCCAAGCCAGCAAUGGUAGGGAAGAGGUAACCAUCCAUCACGGUUUUCCCAGAACAGGCUGAUUUGCGUCUUCUGUCCUGGCAUAAGGAUCCCUUCACUCUCGGAAGUGUUCCGGCAUUCAUAAUUAAUGGUGCAUAUAAGCAAGAAGUGACUCUAUAAUAAGAAAACCUUUGGAUCCAUUAACCUGGCAUCCAUUUCUAGGGAAGGUAUCACUGUGGUCCUGAAAGGAUAGCUCCAAGUCACCUGUCGACAUUCUUGAGUUUGCUUUGCGGAGAGAGGAAAAGACUAACAACAGAACUAAAGUAGAUCCACUGAAGACAUGAGUGAUAGACAAUCACUUCAGAACUUCACAUCGCCGUCCAAGAAAACAUCUAGCUGACAUUUCUUCAAAAAAAUUUAUGUACAGUAUAGUUGUCAAACUGAUUUUUCAAAAGCAACUCCUUUGCUUUUCAUUUUUCUCAAAGUAAAACCUCAGGGUAGCACAUUCCAAAGAAGAUACGAAAAAGUUUAUUAUUAUAUAUUUUUCCACCAUUAAAUCUAGGGGUAAUAUCAUCUGUAAAUAUAGUGGAGAAAGUCUGGAGACUUUUUAAAAGGAAUUGUAAAGAUGUUGAUAGGAGUUGGGGAGAGGAAUCCUUACCAAGCUCUCUACCUGACACUCCUUAUUCAAAGAAAAUUCUGCCCUAACGUAGCCCUGGCAGUCCAUUUGUGUCCAGGGAGCUCAGUCCCCCUCCACUCUCCAGUGUAUAAUUCCAGCAGUAAGGAAAAUUAAGACAAAGCAUUCUGUGCGAGGGAGGGCGGAAAGGUUAAGCAGCGUUGGGGUGCAGUGGAAACCAGAAAAGAAAGUGACCUCAUUUUGCCUGAGAAAGCACGAUCCAACAAGCCCACCUUUGAUGUGGAUUUCAGCAGCGAUAAAAGAGCACAAAGGGCGAAAGCCGGAGGGAGCAAACUUCCCUUAUUCUUCCCCCCGCCCCCUACCUCUCAAGACCACCAGGAACACGCACACGCGAGGACAACAAAGCGUGCGCCCAGGCUGCACGGCAGGCGCUUCCCGCGGCUGGGCCAUCGUGCCCUGGGGCGCGCCGCUCCCAACGGCAGAGCGAGGGCGCCGGAGCGCGGCUGCCGCCCGGACCGCUGGGAAAAAGGGGUGGAGGAGCUCCCCUACCUUGAACAGCACAAAGAGCCAGAGCAGAGGCAGGAGGCGGCGGGCGCCGUGUAUCCCCGUGGGCAGGUGCCCCAUCGCUGCGCGGACGGGGACUCGGGGGCACGGCUGCGCUAGCGGACUCCCCCGGCGGCGGCUCACAAUGGCGAACUGGGGCUGCAGCCUCAGACCCUGGGCGCCGAGGUUGCUCCUGGCGAGCGCAUGCUGCCUUUCCAGUCCCCCUGCGCCUGCUCCCUUUCCUCCUCUGCGCCCGGGGUCCUCCAAGAACGUGCCAGGCGCUGCUGUUCUUUAAUGACUAAGGAUGGAGAGGGUGGGGAUUGGAGUGGGCGAGGCUCUGCCGCCGCCACCACCGCGGCUGCCAGAGGAGGCGCGGGGUCUGUGUGGUGAGCGAGAGGCGGGGACCCCGCGCCCAGCCCGCCGUAGUCCUCUGGCAGCAGGGACACUCUCACUCUGGCUGCCGACCCAUAAAAUGACAGCAGCCUCCCAACCCUCCACCAGGAUCGGCCCGCUGCUUGCUACUGCUGGACAGCCCCCAUUGCAGACUCCGCCUCAACCCCUCCCUCAAUCUCUGGGUCUCAGGAGUUCUGAGGGGUUUCCCUGACCUCUCUUGAGCAAUCCAGGCGCCAGAUCCCAGUUCCCUCUCAAUCUUCCUACAUCUGUACUCAAUUGCAGUUAUAAAGGAUCAAUAACAGUUGGGUAGUUGUGACUGUAGAAAUAGUGUGUAGUGUGAGUGUGUGAGUGUGUGUGAUAGGAAGGGUAUUUUCUCUCCUUCCCCACUGCUUCCAUUAUCUCCAUCCCAUUUCAACACUCUCACCGUCUCCGUCCCACACUCACCCAGGAACAAAUAGCACAAUUAUGCACCUUUUCCAUUUGAAAUCCGCAGUUCUUGUACAUUUCAGAUUCUCUUUUGAUACCAAAGUGUGUCGGGUCACCUGAAGCUGAAUAUAGAAGGGGGAAAAAUCACAGUAUUUUACAUGUAUGACCCUUGAACAACACGGGUUUGAACUGUUGGGUCCAGUUAUAUGCAGAUUUUCUUCCACCUUUGCCAGCCUUGAGACAGCAAGACCAAACCCUCUUCCUCCUCCUCUGCCUGCUCAGCCUGAAAAGGAUGACGUUAAAGACUUUUAUGAUAAUUCACUUCCACUCAAUGAAUAUAAAUGUAUUUUCUCCUCUUUAUGGUUUUCUUAAUAAUAUUUUCUGUUCUCUAGCGUACUUUAUUGUAAGAAUACAGUAUACAAUACAUACAACACAAAAUGUGUGUUAAUCAACUGUUUAUUAUGUUAUCAGUAAGGUUUCCGGUCAAGAGUAGGCUAUUAGUAGUUAAGGUUUUGAUGAGUUCAAAGUUAUAUGUGGAUUUUCAACUACGUGAUUCUCUGUGUUGUCCAAGUGUCAACGGUAUGUACAGUUAUAUUUUUAAACAAUUAUCUGUGAAUAAUUUUACUGGGAUGUUUUAGAAUCACAAGCAACGACUUUCAAGCUGUGGGUCCCCAAUCUACUACUUGUCUCCUUUUUUGUUAUGUGUAUUUUUUUAAAGAUAAGUCUGUCGAAAUCAACUCUGGUAUGCACUGUUCAGAUAGAAAUCAUUUCUUAUUGUCAUGUAAAUUACCCUUGCUGUGCCCUGUCAGUAUUGGAACUUAUUUAUACCUGAGACAUGCUUGGGCAACAGGAGACAGGAAAGGCCACCCUGGUCAUGAAUGUAGGUGUUCAGGCAUAGACUUUGUCAGUCACACAGCUAGGGAGUGGUGGCCUGAGAAAAGGAUCCAGAGCUGUGUUUACUCAGCUUUUGCUGCAUGAGCAAUGGCCAAACACUAAUCAUUUGGUUGUUGUUUGUAUGUGUCUUAAGGAAGCUUUAGAUUGAAUAUGUUUACAUAAGUGUGAAUAUGUAUAUAUACACAUGUGUACAUGUACACAUAUGUGUACAUGUACAUAUGUGUACACACAUGUGUGUGCAUGUACAUAUGUGUACACAUAUGUGUGUGCAUGUACAUAUGUGUGUACACAUAUGUGUAUGUGUGUACAUAGAUACAUAUGUGUAUGCAUACGUAUAUGUAUAUGUACGCAUAUGUAUAUGCAUGGUACAUAUAUGUAUAUAUGUACCAAAUUUCAUAUGCAUGAAAUAUGUACCAAAAUUCAUAUGCAUGAAAAUAUAGAAUGAUGGUCUGAA